AUGGGCGCAGCCUGAUGCAGCGACGCCGCGUGAGGGAUGGAGGCCUUCNGGUCGUAAACCUCUUUUAUCGGGGAGCAAGCGAGAGUGAGUUUACCCGUUGAAUAAGCACCGGCUAACUACGUGCCAGCAGCCGCGGUAAUACGUAGGGUGCAAGCGUUAUCCGGAAUUAUUGGGCGUAAAGGGCUCGUAGGCGGUUCGUCGCGUCCGGUGUGAAAGUCCAUCGCUUAACGGUGGAUCCGCGCCGGGUACGGGCGGGCUUGAGUGCGGUAGGGGAGACUGGAAUUCCCGGUGUAACGGUGGAAUGUGUAGAUAUCGGGAAGAACACCAAUGGCGAAGGCAGGUCUCUGGGCCGUUACUGACGCUGAGGAGCGAAAGCGUGGGGAGCGAACAGGAUUAGAUACCCUGGUAGUCCAAGGGCGAAUUC
rnacentral:rRNA from 1 species